AAUGAACGUUGGCGGCGUGGAUUAGGCAUGCAAGUCGAGCGAGAUCGGUUCCCUCACCUUGUGCUCUCAGUUUUUCAGAGGAGAGCAUGGGGUGAGGGAGCCGUGACAGCGGCGAAAGGGAGAGUAACGCGUAGUUACGUGCCCCGAGGUCCGGAAUAGCCAGCCGAAAGGCUGGGUAAUGCUGGAUAAUGUCCCCGGACCAAAGGUGUGAUUCCGCCUCGGGAGCGGACUGCGUUGUACUAGCUAGUUGGUA
rnacentral:rRNA from 1 species